rnacentral:rRNA from 1 species
AGAGUUUGAUCAUGGCUCAGAUUGAACGCUGGCGGCAUGCUUUACACAUGCAAGUCGUACGCGGGUGAGGGGCAACUCUCACCUGAGUGGCGAACGGGUGAGUAAUACAUCGGAACGUGUCCCGUAGUGGGGGGAUAGCUCGGCGAAAGCCGGAUUAAUACCGCAUAUGCUCUACGGAGGAAAGCGGGGGAUCCGCAAGGACCUCGCGCUAUGGGAGCGGCCGAUGUCCGAUUAGCUUGUUGGUGGGGUAACGGCUUACCAAGGCGACGAUCGGUAGCUGGUCUGAGAGGAUGAUCAGCCACACUGGGACUGAGACACGGCCCAGACUCCUACGGGAGGCAGCAGUGGGGAAUUUUGGACAAUGGGGGAAACCCUGAUCCAGCCAUGCCGCGUGAGUGAAGAAGGCCUUCGGGUUGUAAAGCUCUUUUGGCCGGAAAGAAAAGGCUACGGAUAACACCCGUGGUCCUUGACGGUACCGGCAGAAUAAGCACCGGCUAACUACGUGCCAGCAGCCGCGGUAAUACGUAGGGUGCGAGCGUUAAUCGGAAUUACUGGGCGUAAAGAGUGCGUAGGCGGUCCCGCAAGUCCGCUGUGAAAGCCCCGGGCUUAACCUGGGAAUGGCAGUGGAAACUAUGGGACUUGAAUCUGGCAGAGGGGGGUGGAAUGCCACGUGUAGCAGUGAAAUGCGUAGAGAUGUGGCGGAACACCGAUGGCGAAGGCAGCCCCCUGGGCUGAGAUUGACGCUCAGGCACGAAAGCGUGGGGAGCAAACAGGAUUAGAUACCCUAGUAGUCC